rnacentral:lncRNA from 1 species
AACAAAGCACUUUCCCCAGUUCUAAAGGAGGCAUGGAGUGGGGGGUGGGGGUGUGGGAUGUCCUGAUGCUGAUAUCCAGUGUAAUAGUAAUCAUCGAUGCGCUCAUUGGACCAGUUAGAUCAGCAGUUUCAGCCCUGUCAGACCCCGCAAGAUCAUUAUUUAAGAUUGCACAAAACCUAUUGUGGUAGACAUGAAUAUUCUGAGACAAUCAUUUAGGGGAAAAUGGCAAAGCCUGGAAGGGAAGAUGAAGAGGAGACAGACAGACAGACAGACAGAUAGUUAUAUAUAUAGAUAUAUAUAUAUGUUGUGAUUGACAACAGAGUAGUGGUGAGGUGGUGAACUGGUGGUGGUGGUCUGGAAAAGCAAUCACAUGCCCUGAAUCUGGCAGAAGGAUAUGAGGGAGUGAGAGACAGAGUGAGUGAAAGAGAGCUCUCUCAAGCCAGAGCAUGUUGACAAAGUGGUGCCUGAAGCUCUCUCAUUAAGUGCCUGGGCACAGA